UAGGAAUAUUGAACUCUUUGAAUAAAAUUCUGCUUUAUGAUAGAUGUAGAGUAAUUAAUUGAGUGUUUUUGGACUGUGUGGUGAUGAACUGUGAUUGUGAAGUGUAUUGAAUGAUGAAUUAUCUUUUAUUUGAUGUUAAAAUGUUCAAAUUUUUGUUUGGAUUUGGGUGUUGUGAAGUUUAGGAAAUGAAUAACUAAAAGCUUAAGGAUUUUGUUGAUAUUAUUAAAGAAACAUGAGGUCUUAGAGAGUGGAUUUGUAAGUGAAGACUAGUAAACUGAUUUGAUGUAGAUAGGGUCGGUCACGAGAUGUUUUUUGAGUUGUUCAAGCCUUUAAAAUAGAAGAAAUAUGAGAUAUAAGUAUGUGAUGAUGGUUAGGCAGUGUUUAGCUUUUUUUUAGGACUAUUUUUUGGAAGUGGACUAGUGAAAACUUGAAUUGGGAGUUUUGUGCAAAAUUGGUCACCUUGGUUAAUGUUCCCGAGUCUUAAAAUCAUCAUAAUUAAAUUUAUAAGCUUCUCUUACCUCUAACUCCAGCUAAGCUUCUAAGUCUUUGAGAGUACUACUCUUAUGGCUUCAAGAUUCCAAAGUGCUCCAAACAAGAUUAUGAUCGGUGCAAUUGGAAGGUCUUGUCGCCGGGAAGAUUUAAUCUAAAAGGAGUAAGGUGAUCGGAGAAGAGGAGGUGGUCAGAAAUCUAGAGCGAAGGCUGAGGUUUCUAGAGAGAAGGAGGAGAAAAUGGUGGUUUUUGGAAUUUGAGUCUGAGUAAGAAGAAGGGUUGCAUGCAAAAGUGGCACCAAUUUUCAAAAAUCUCAUUUUAAAUAUUGCCUCAAAAAGGACGUUCGACCCACUCUCUGUCUGCCACCUGUCUUCCACUAUCUAGAAACUAUCUAGAAACUAUCU
rnacentral:lncRNA from 1 species